AUUGAACGCUGGCGGCAGGCCUAACACAUGCAAGUCGAGCGGAUGAAGGGAGCUUGCUCCUGGAUUCAGCGGCGGACGGGUGAGUAAUGCCUAGGAAUCUGCCUGGUAGUGGGGGAUAACGUCCGGAAACGGGCGCUAAUACCGCAUACGUCCUGAGGGGGAAAGUGGGGGAUCUUCGGACCUCACGCUAUCAGAUGAGCCUAGGUCGGAUUAGCUAGUUGGUGGGGUAAAGGCCUACCAAGGCGACGAUCCGUAACUGGUCUGAGAGGAUGAUCAGUCACACUGGAACUGAGACACGGUCCAGACUCCUACGGGAGGCAGCAGUGGGGAAUAUUGGACAAUGGGCGAAAGCCUGAUCCAGCCAUGCCGCGUGUGUGAAGAAGGUCCUCGGAUUGUAAAGCACUUUAAGUUGGGAGGAAGGGCAGUAAGUUAAUACCUUGCUGUUUUGACGUUACCAACAGAAUAAGCACCGGCUAACUUCGUG
rnacentral:rRNA from 1 species